rnacentral:rRNA from 1 species
GACGAACGCUGGCGGCGUGCUUAACACAUGCAAGUGGAGCGACGAACCAGGCUUCGGCCUGGGGCAGAGCCGCGAACGGGUGAGUAACACGUGGGUAACCUGCCUCGAUGACCGGGACAACCCGGGGAAACCCGGGCUAAUACCGGAUGUGCUGUCCUCACAUCAGUGAGGGUUGGAAAGGAAGCUUCGGCCUCCGCAUCGAGAUGGGCCCGCGGCCCAUUAGCUUGUCGGUGAGGUAAAGGCUCACCAAGGCUGCGAUGGGUAGCUGGUCUGAGAGGACGAUCAGCCACACUGGGACUGAGACACGGCCCAGACUCCUACGGGAGGCAGCAGUGGGGAAUCUUGCGCAAUGCGCGAAAGCGUGACGCAGCAACGCCGGGUGGGGGAAGAAGGCCUUCGGGUUGUAAACCCCUUUCAGGAGGGACGAAGGUUGGGCGGUGAAUAGCCGACCCGACUGACGGUACCUCCAGAAGAAGCCCCGGCUAACUACGUGCCAGCCGCCGCCGUAAUAC